GGGCAUACCCGUAGACCUUGCCUGUCUCAGCUCGUGGAUAGGCAAGGGGGACAGUGUAUGCGAGAGUAACGGAGUCCGUGCCAGCUCUAGUCAGCUUCAGGAUGGCUGACGAAACUGCAGUACUCCUACAUUA